GGUCCCGGCCUUUAAAUCAAUUUAUUCAUAGCUUACACAUGCAAGUCUCCGCACACCCGUGUAAAACACCCUUUACCCCACCUAGGAACAAGGAGCCGAUAUCAGGCACAAUAAUUCGCCCAACACAUCUAGCCAUGCCACACCCACAAGGGUAUACAGCAGUGAUUAACAUUAAAAAUAAACGCCAGUUUGAUUUAGCCAAUGAAUACUAAAGCCGGCUAAUCUGGUGCCAGCCGCCGCGGUUACACCAAGUGGCUCAAAUUGAUUUUACAACGGCGUAAAGCGUGAUAAAAAACAUUUAACUGGGGUUAAACUUAAACUAAGCUGUAAAAAGCUUGUUCUUAAAAAACUCUACCCGAAAAACACCCCAACCCCCUCACAAAUUCACGACAGCUAGAACACAAACUGGGAUUAAAUACCCCACUAUGCCUAGCCGUAAACCUUAAUUUACCCCCCCCCCCGCCAGGGAACUACGAGCAAAGCUUAAAACCCAAAGGACUUGACGGUACCCCACAUCCCCCUAGAGGAGCCUGUUCUAUAAUCGAUACCCCACGCUUAACCCAACCAUUUUUAGUUUUUCAGCCUGUAUACUUCCGUCGCCAGCUCACCGCAUGAGCGAAACUCAGUGGGCUUAACAGUCACCGCCAAUACGUCAGGUCAAAGUGCAGCAAAUAAAAUGGCAAGAAAUGGGCUACACUCUCUAACCUAGAAAAAACGAAAGAUUACAUGAAAUUGUAAUCGGAAGGUGGAUUUAGAAGUAAGAAAAAUUAAAAUAUCUUUCUUAACCCGGCACUGGAGUGUGUACACACCGCCCGUCACCCUCUUCAACAAACCACCCAAGUUCCUAACAACCCCGACAAACCAGAAGAGGUAAGUCGUAACAUGGUAAGUAUACCGGAAGGUGUGCUUGGAAU
rnacentral:ncRNA from 1 species